rnacentral:rRNA from 1 species
GACGAACGCUGGCGGCGUGCUUAACACAUGCAAGUCGAACGAUGAAGCCGCUUCGGUGGUGGAUUAGUGGCGAACGGGUGAGUAACACGUGGGUAAUCUGCCCUGCACUCUGGGAUAAGCCUUGGAAACGAGGUCUAAUACCGGAUAUGACACACGGCCGCAUGGUCUGUGUGUGGAAAGUUCCGGCGGUGCAGGAUGAGCCCGCGGCCUAUCAGCUUGUUGGUGGGGUAGUGGCCUACCAAGGCGACGACGGGUAGCCGGCCUGCGAGGGUGACAGGCCGCACUGGGACUGGGACACGGCCCAGACUCCUACGGGAGGCAGCAGUGGGGAAUCUGGCGCAAUGGGCGAAAGCCUGACGCAGCAACGCCGCGUGGGGGAUGACGGCCUUCGGGUUGUAAACCUCUUUCGACAGGGACGAAGCUUUCGGGUGACGGUACCUGUAGAAGAAGCACCGGCUAACUACGUGCCAGCCGCCGCAGUAA